rnacentral:rRNA from 1 species
GUGGGGGAUAUUGCGCAAUGGGGGAAACCCUGACGCAGCAACGCCGCGUGAAGGAAGAAGGUUUUCGGAUUGUAAACUUCUGUUCUUAGGGAAGAAGAAAGUGACGGUACCUAAGGAGCAAGCCACGGCUAACUACGUGCCAGCAGCCGCGGUAAUACGUAGGUGGCAAGCGUUGUCCGGAUUUACUGGGUGUAAAGGGCGCGUAGGCGGGAUAUCAAGUUAGUCGUGAAAUACCGGGGCUCAACCCCGGGGCUGCGAUUAAAACUGAUAUUCUUGAGUAUCGGAGAGGAAAGCGGAAUUCCUAGUGUAGCGGUGAAAUGCGUAGAUAUUAGGAGGAACACCAGUGGCGAAGGCGGCUUUCUGGACGACAACUGACGCUGAGGCGCGAAAGUGUGGGGAGCAAACAGGAUUAGAAACCCUGGUAGUCC